ACUUCAGGUUUUAAGAGAGGUGCAGAUCCUGGAAUGCCUGAGCCAACUAUCUGGAGUCUACUUUGGGGAUGAAGGAUGUGGCGGUCCUGUUCUAGAACCAGCCGAUGGACAGAGAAAGUGUCUGAAGAUACGUACAUUCCAGAGGAUGAGGCGGACACUUACACCAGCUGGCUCAAUCAGCUUGCUAAUGACAUAGGUUGUACAUACAACAAAAUGGAGUUUAUAUGGACCUAACUUAUUUGCAUUACAGUGUAAUUAAAUAAAUACAAUUUGAAUGGA